GUGACGGAAGUCCUCUACACUUCCGGGUCGCUCACUCCGUGAGGUGUUUUGCUGUGCUACAGAUCUUCCGUUGGCGGGUUGUCCUUCACCUUACCGGUUGAACGGCGGUGAAUGAAAAGCGAGUAACACUGAUAGCUGCUGCGGUUUGCAUGCUCGGAGCUGAGCUUGAACGGAACACUGAAGCUGCCGGAGAUCCCUGUUAGCUGCUUAGUACUUCAACUACUGCCUGCUGUUUUGCCGAGGCUGCUGUUUUGCCGAGGCUGGUUUUUGCCUAAGAAGGCUUUUGCCGGGAUUGCUGCUGUCCUUUAAAAAUCCUGAGUAUCGUAACUAUUGCUGCACGCCUGUGUUGCCUUUAGGGCUACUGGGCCAAUGUAUAAACCACCUGUUUUUAUAUGAAUGAAUGUAUGUAGCGGAGGGGUUUGGCUCCCUACAUUAAUUUGGUUGAUUUAGUUGUUUCUUUCUUUACUUUCUUUCCAUUUUUUCAAU